UUUCCGUAGGUGAACCUGCGGAAGGAUCAUUAGCACUUUCUUUUGUGUUUUUUGUGAAUCCAUGGGAAGGACGUGUUCUUUUUUCUUUUUGCUAUACCCAACCCACACCAACCACACCACAGCACACCAAACAACAAUCCAAACACGAAACAACUCUUAGCAACGGAUAUCUUGGCUCUCUCAUCGAUGAAGAACGCAGC
rnacentral:misc_RNA from 1 species